rnacentral:rRNA from 1 species
UACGACUACAUAUCAGGCAUAUCAAUAAGCGGAGGAAAAGAAACUAACAAGGAUUCCCUUAGUAACGGCGAGUGAAGCGGGAAGAGCUCAAAUUUGAAAUCUUCAAGGUCCUACCUUGACGAAUUGUAGUUUAAAGAAGUGUUUUCUGUUAGAUGAGUAGCAAAAGUUCCUUGGAAUGGGACAUCAUAGAGGGUGAGAAUCCCGUAUUUGGUUAUUCAUUCUAGCUUUGUGAUACACUUUCAAAGAGUCGGAUUGUUUGGGAAUGCAGUCCAAAAUGGGUGGUAAAUUUCAUCUAAAGCUAAAUAUUGGCGAGAGACCGAUAGCGAACAAGUACCGUGAGGGAAAGAUGAAAAGAACUUUGAAAAGAGAGUUAAACAGUACGUGAAAUUGUCAAAAGGGAAGCGUUUGACACCAGUGUUGUUUUUCCAAAAAUCAAUUACGAAUGGCUUGAUUUUGUGUUGUAUUGACCUUAUCAGCUUUCUUCACUUUUUUCGAGUCUUUCUUAAUGCACUUUUCGGUUAACAAGUCAACAUCAAUUUCUUUUGUUGUAAAAGAGUAUUCGGAAGGUGGCUUUCUUUUCGGAGAAAGUGUUUAUAGCCCUAUACUUCUACAAUCGGAGAGAUUGAGGUCUGCAGCGUAGAUCCUUCGGGGUUAGAUACAUUUGUGCUAAGUUGUAGCUUUUCAUAGACAACUUGUUGACUAUGUUUAGUCAUGCGGCUUACUCGCUUAUGUUAUUUUACCUACGCUUAGGAUGUUGAGUAGCGACAUACGCAC